rnacentral:rRNA from 1 species
ACGUACACUCCUGCGGGAGGCAGCAGUGGGGAAUAUUGCACAAUGGGCGCAAGCCUGAUGCAGCCAUGCCGCGUGUAUGAAGAAGGCCUUCGGGUUGUAAAGUACUUUCAGCGGGGAGGAAGGCGAUAAGGUUAAUAACCUUGUUGAUUGACGUUACCCGCAGAAGAAGCACCGGCUAACUCCGUGCCAGCAGCCGCGGUAAUACGGAGGGUGCAAGCGUUAAUCGGAAUUACUGGGCGUAAAGCGCACGCAGGCGGUCUGUCAAGUCGGAUGUGAAAUCCCCGGGCUCAACCUGGGAACUGCAUUCGAAACUGGCAGGCUAGAGUCUUGUAGAGGGGGGUAGAAUUCCAGGUGUAGCGGUGAAAUGCGUAGAGAUCUGGAGGAAUACCGGUGGCGAAGGCGGCCCCCUGGACAAAGACUGACGCUCAGGUGCGAAAGCGUGGGGAGCAAACAGGAUUAGAUACCCCGGUAGUCCC